CCUAAAAAUAUUUCCCUACCUCUUCUCCUUAGAUUUUCCACAAAAUUUUCACCUCCCGUGCCCUAGAGCGCCCGGUCGGAUCUCGCCGGAGUUCGCUGCAGUAGGAGCGCCCCGCUGGUUGAUUCCGUCGCGUAUCUAGGUUCCCAGCAUCCAUUUCCCUUAUGGUUUGAUUCGCCUUGGUCUCCCCUCUCUCCCUCAUCUCUUAUUCUGCACAGGGAGAUACCACAUCGAGCCCUUGGACCUCCGCCCGAAGCUUAAUGGAUGAAGAUCCGCUCCAGCCGGUCAUUGUCACCACAGGGGCAGGCCCCAAUCGUCUCCGAGGUCACCUAAUUCAUCUCUGUGGCAUUCUGCACCCGUCGGUGAUCUCUACGUAGCCGAAGGGCCCCUGUAGCCGUCGCUCGCAUCACUACCAAGCCGCCCGUGCCGUUCUUCUCCAAGUCCGGCGACCACCCAGACCCUGUUUCUGACCUUGCAGCGAACAGCUUCCCAGCAAGCACUGGGUGCCACGUGGCACAUCCACAGCAGCAGUGGUAGUUCUUCCCAGAACGCUGUUAUGAUUGUCCGGAGUGUGAGGCGGAUCGGAAUUAAUCGUUAGAGUACUUCAGCAUCGUUCUAGGCAAGUUUGCACUUUUGAUUAUGCCCAUCCUAUAUUUCUACUAUGCAUGGGUGGUUUUUAUGCUAGGACUUGUG